GAUAAACGCUAGCGGCAGGCUUAACGCAUGCAAGUCGAGGGGCAGCAUAGACUGUAGCAAUACAAUUGGUGGCGACCGGCGCACGGGUGCGUAACGCGUAUGCAACCUACCCGUCACAGGGGGAUAAUCCGGAGAAAUCUGGUCUAAUACCCCAUAACAUAUGGAUCGGCAUCGGUUCAUGUUGAAAUUUUCGGAGGUGACGGAUGGGCAUGCGUAGCAUUAGCUUGUUGGUGAGGUAACGGCUCACCAAGGCGACGAUGCUUAGGGGGACUGAGAGGUUUUCUCCCCACACUGGUACUGAGACACGGACCAAACUCCUACGGGAGGCAGCAGUGAGGAAUAUUGGUCAAUGGGCGCAAGCCUGAACCAGCCAUGCCGCGUGCAGGAUGACGGCUCUAUGAGUUGUAAACUGCUUUUGUACGAGGGUAAAGUGGGUUACGUGUAACCUUUUGAAAGUAUCGUACGAAUAAGGAUCGGCUAACUCCGUGCCAGCAGCCGCCGUAA
rnacentral:rRNA from 1 species